UCAGCUCCAGUCUGCACUGAUAUAAGACCAGAUCACAAGCCUCUAAGGUUCCACAGACAUAAUGUCACUAUAAUUUAUGAGUCACUCUAGAGAGAGGAGCCAUUGUUUCCUCUUUUCAGUAUGACCACAUGAUUCCGAGAUACUUUUAUAGUUUUCUAAAACUUCCACAGGUUUUGCCUAUUUCCAAAUAAAAUAUAUAUAUAUAUAUUCACUGGUAAUCUCUCUGAGUGAUGGUGACAUUGUUAUUACUUACAACAUGUUUUAAUAACUUCCAGAUAAUUCCAGUGAAGUAGCUGUGUCAGUCAGUCCUUCUGGUGAGGUUGUUAGUGGCAGGACAGUGUUGUUAUCCUGCUGCUGUACCACCCGACUCCCAGUAGAGAGCUACACCUGGUAUAGGACUGGACGCUCCAAGGCUGUUCACAAGGGACAGAUAUGGACCAUUGUCAAUAUCAGCACAACAGAGAGUGGAAACUACUAUUGUGAGGCUCUAACCACGGAUGGGUCAUUUAACUCCUCUACAAUGUAUAUUAAUGUCCAAUAUGCUCCAAGAAACACAUCUGUGUCAGUCUAUCCUCUUGGAGAGGUAGUGUUGGGCAGCUCUGUGACUCUGUCAUGCAACAGUGAUGCCCACCCCCUAGUGGAGAGCUACACCUGGCUUCACAGGACAGAAUUCCAAACAUCAUUGAGAGGGUCAGGAAGGAGUUACAGCAUUGCUAUCAUUCGUCCUGAGGACAGUGGACAGUACUGCUGUGUGGUGGUAAAUAAGCAUGGAUCACACAGUGGUAAUGUAACAAUCACUGUGGUAAAUGCAAAUGGCAAGACUUCUUCUCUGUGGAGGAGGUUGGUGACAGUCGGGAUCCCUGUUGCUCUCACACUGAUCUUCAUAAUAACACUGGCUUGCAUAAGGAUGUGAGUGAAGUUAGAAAUCUAUUGAAAAUGUGAAUGAAAGUGAUCUGUUGUCACUUUAUGUACUGAUUUGUGCUGUAUAUUAUUUUACUCCUUUACUCCUAAGAUUAUUUAUAAACAAGAUUUGAUCCACAACAAUGUUCCCACAUAGGAAACAUGCAUCGAGUCAUCAAGCAUUGAGUCUCUCAGAGACCACCAUUUCACUGCCUUUAUCAUAAUGAUACAUCAAGGACGACCAUAACAUGCAUAUGGUUGAAGACAGCUGCAUUGGAUACAAUUGAUGGAAACUGAAUGAACGGUGGGGAAGUGCCUAGUUUCCAGCCACACAGUUGCACAAAAGUCUCAAUUCAACUCUUUCAAUCCCAUUUUCAAUCCCAUCCUGUUUCCAUUGAUCAUCCUUGAGAUGUUUCUACAACUUGACUGGAGUCCAUCUGUGUCAUAUUUAACUGAUUGGUCAUGGUAUGGGAAGGCACUCAUCUGUCCAUACAGUGCUAUUACAAGAACCUUACAGGGAUGGUUAUUAAAAUAUUAAAAUAAACCCGUAAAAAACAAGGGCAAAUAAAAAUGUGUAAUAAAGAUAUUCAAAUUAUAUAUUUUCAUUGUUUAUUUUUUUUUAACAAAAAUGUAAUAAUUAAUGUGUGCAAAUCCAUGUAAACCCCCUAUUCUUUAGUUUGUGCAACCUCCAUUUGUGGCAAUUACUUGGAGUUUAUGUCUACCACAGCCACUAAUCAGUCUCUGACAUCUUUUUUUGAGGGACAUUUUGCACAGUCAGUUUGCACAGUCAUUUUGCACAGAAGUCACCCGAUUGAGUGAGAUUUGUGGGGUGUACUACCUGCUUCAGGUCCUACCACAGCAUCUCGAUUGAAUUUAGAUCAGGACUUUGACUUGUCAAAUGUUAUUUCUCCUGAGCCCUUUGGGAGAUUUGCUUGAAUUCUUUUGGUCGAUGUCUUGUUGGAAGAACAGUUUUUGGCCCAGCUUUACCUCCUUGACUGAUUUCCUGACAUUCGAUUCUCUCAUAGUGAACAAUGAACUCACAGUUCUCUUGAUGAUGUUCAGUCAACCAUGUCUGAAUGUUGAGAAGGUGCUUUAGGUGGUCGGCAUUGUUGGGUUUUUGCCAAACAUAGCGGUUUUGAUUGUGACAAAAAGGUCAAAUUUGGACUCAUCUUUCCAGAGAAUGGACUUCCAGAAAGCUUCAGGUUUUUCCAGUUCCAGUCUGUGGCAAAGUUAAGACAGCAGUUUGCUUCUUUUUUGACAGCAGAGACUACAUCCUACCAACCCUCCCAUGAAUGCCAUUUCACUUCAGUGUUGUUCUUAUGGUUACAACAUGCAGAGUAACCUGAGAUGGUUUGUUGUUAUGUUUGGUUUGACAAUUACCUGAUGAAUUAUUUGUCUUGUAGCUUUUGGGGAUAUUUUGGACAUCCACAUGAAAGGAUAAAGGGCAUCCACAUCUGGGCCAAGUUGCUGUGAUGCUCUCCAUUUGUAAAUGUUUUGUAAAGUAUUUUUGUAUAGCCUUCCCCGGACUCACUACCCUCUUCCUGGUGUCCUCUGAGAACUCCUUUCAUUUGCAUGGUGUGUUUUGCCUUCACCUGAAUGUGUAACACCAAAAUGACCAAAGUGCCCCACCCCAACCUAAGACUAAAAUCCUUCAUUUGAUUAGUUCAGUUUGUACCCAAUUAUGAACCCACCUGAUUUUACUUACCUAAUUAAUUCCUUUUUAUUUUGUUUUACUAUACAUAUGAUUUCCUUUAAACCAACAUAUGGAGUUGAUAACAAUAAACCUGUUAUGUCACAUAUAAGACUGGUUCUGAAUAAAUAAAGAUUUUACGGUGAACACUAAAAACAUCUAUAAUUGCACAAGGGGUUUACAUAUUGUCAAGCAGCAUUGUAUAAGGUCCCACAACUGAUAAUGCAUGUCAUACUGUAGUCUAUGAGAGUCAAAAAGAUUUAUCAUAGUGCUUAGAGACAGGAUUAUGUCGAGGCACAGUUUUGUGGAAGGGUGAAAACAUCUGCAGCAUCAAAGGUCACUAAGAACAUAGUGGCCUCUGUCAUUCUUAAAUGGAAGAAGUUUGGAACCACCAACACUCUUCCUAAAGCUGGCCAUCUGGCCUAACUGACCGAUUGGGGGAUACAGGCCUUGGUCAAGGAUGUGACCAAGAACCUAAUGGUCACAGACAGAGCUCCAGAGUUCCUGUGUGGAGAAAAGACCUCUUCAUAUAAAAAAUAUAGUAACUAGUCAAUGUAUUAUGACUUCAUAUCUGCUUUCAUAGUUUGUGCAACAGUAAACCAACACACAAUUUUCAAGUUCUCUUUUUUUCAUUUAUUUCUCAGUAGUGAUUACACAUAUUACAUCCGUGUUUCUACAUCUCUGUUAGUCGAGCCAGUUCUGCUUUUGUUAUUUUUUAAGGAUUUUCUACAGUUAUUGACUGUGAAUCUGAUUUUGCUUGUUUUAGAACACGUUUCAGCCUCUGUGGCAGCCUUUUCAAUGUAUUUUUGUAGGUGCCCAAUGUUAACUUCAAGUCUUUAUUUUAUGUUUAGUUUGAUCACCUUUCCACAGCUGGUGAAGUCCUCAAUCUUCAGUCUUCAGUGAUCUGAUCUUUACUUCAAAUAAACAACAAACAUUGGACCAAUAAUCACACUCUGUGGUGUCUCUGUGGUGAAACUCCAAAACACACCUCUCAAUAACCUUGUCUGUCAGCUGUAUCAAGGCCCUGUCAGUUGAAAAAACC
ensembl:lncRNA